rnacentral:rRNA from 1 species
UACGUAGGCAGCGAGCGUUGUUCGGAUUCAUUGGGCGUAAAGGGCGCGUAGGCGGGCCGCCAAGUCUGUGGUGAAAUCCCCCGGCUCAACCGGGGAACUGCCGUGGAUACUGGAGGUCUCGAGGGAGGUAGGGGCAUGCGGAACUACGGGUGGAGCGGUGAAAUGCGUUGAUAUCCGUAGGAACUCCGGUGGCGAAGGCGGCGUGCUGGACCUCUUCUGACGCUGAGGCGCGAAAGCCAGGGGAGCGAACGGG